rnacentral:lncRNA from 1 species
UUGUAGUUUCUCCAUUUAUUUAGAUUAGUUAUUGAUGCUUUAAUCUGUACCUUUGGAGAUGUUGUGUUUCUAGAAUCAUUCAUCAUCCUUCUGAACUUUUGUUGAUGUUUGCACGUUUGAAGAAAGAGGCAACCCCUCUAAUCAUGCCAGCUACUCUUCAGAAAUUCUGGGUGGAAUAGGAAGUACAAUGUCAUUGCCUAAUUUGUGGAUCAAUAAAGACCAUCUGGGGCUGUCAUGUAGCCUUGCCCUUUCUGUAAGAACUGUUGAGAAGGAAUUGUCGAGGUUGUCAGGAACACAUGCUUUACACCACUUGCACAACAUCUGUAUGAGGAAUGAAGCUUACACAAGUCUGGGUAAAGUUACGCAGUGUGCAGGAAGUCCCUUUGACUGUGUGUGUGGAGAGCUGCAUCUGAAAUCACCCCGCUGUACACCAUUCAGACAUCACGUUUUUAAAACAGAGCUUCAUGAAGCUCAAGUUGCUCCUGAAUUUCUCCUGUGGCCCAUUAUGACCUUGAUCUUUCUGCCUUCAUAUUGCAAAUGCUGGGCUCAUAGGUAUACACUGCUGUAUCCAGUUGUGUCUAUUUCUGGGGAUGGAUCUCAGGACUUCAUGUAUGCCAGGCAGGAGGAACUCUACCAACUCUACAUCCCCAGCUCUGGAAAUAAUUUCUCUAAAAUCUCCCCUAACAAACUAUACAAAAAUGUGAAGACCUAAGGGGCGAUACACUUUAUCAGAUGAGGAUAUGUGGAAAGUGUGGAAUGGUAUUAUAGCAAUGAUGAACUCUAAAGAACAGCUGAGUCAACACCUGUCCUGAGUUCAUGGCAUAGAAGGUACAGAGCUAAAAAGAUGCCAGGAUGGGCUCAGAUGUGUUUAACUGCAAGAGAGUUUUCAUGAUGUAGUGAGAUAAAGGCUACAUUGCUGGGAGAUAUACAGAAAAUGAAGUCAAAACCAACCAAGUGUUAACUAAUGAAGUUCUAGCUAAAAGUAAGCUAUCUAAUAGAAGGAAAAGUAAGUCCUGUGAUUAUUGUAAACCCAUAUAAAUGUAGGCAUAUGGGCUAGUCUUUAAUCCGUGUGUGUGUGUGUGUGUGUGUGUGUGUGUGUGUGUGUGUGUAUGUGUGUGUGUGUGUGUGUACAAUACUAUGAGGAUGGUGCUAGAAUAAAAUUAAAGUGUAGCUUAAUCUUUCA